rnacentral:lncRNA from 1 species
GCGGUAUGCUUUCUUAACACCGACAGUAUAAUUCUACAAUUUUGCCAUGCAUAUGCGUGUAUUUGUUUGAUCUUUGAUGGGCAGUAACUUCUGGCUAGAAUCCUCUUUACAUCAGUGGGAAGGGGAGAUCUCGACGUAUUGUCAAUACAGAAACUACCACUGAUAAGGAGAUAAAUCAAAUGUAUUCUUAUUAGGAUGAACAGUUACCCUAGUACCAUUUAUCAUAAUCCAGUGGACGUAAGACAAAUGUUUUGUCAGGCAGAGUAAUAUUAUUUGGCUGUUUUUUAUCAUACUGAAACCACUAGCCCGGAUCAACAUUCAUAACAUAUUUUUUUCUAUAUUGCAUUGGUACAGUAAAUUUUCUAUCUUCAUCGCUGCAAGCUAAAUAGAUAUGAUUGACGUUGUGUUGUACCAAAAAGGAGCUUGUGAAACAACAAACAUAAGCGUGUAUGUUUCUGGAUUAAACAUCUGCAGUAAGCCAUGAGGCACGUUAAUCACCACUAGCUGUAAUGAUAAGGGCAGGAUGCAUCAUGGUACACAGAAAUUAAACAACCCGCAUUCCAGUGAUAUCAUUGUUUGAAUCCAUGUGUCCUGCUUAAGCUCAGCAAUCCAUCCGAAGGUUCAUAAGUCAUAACAAAACUACAUAGUUGCUUUUAACGUCCAAUCAUCAAGUUUACAAGAGUAAAAUCUCUACUAAAUGAGUAAGACUUCCAUGGUUCAACAGAUAUCAAGCUUUAUUCUUCCUGAUGCAGAAAACCAUCGCAUCGCCUGGCAGGGGUAUCCUUGCCAUGGAUGAGUCGAAUGCUACCUGUGGCAAGAGACUUGCCUCGAUUGGCCUUGAGAACACCGAGGCUAACCGCCAGGCUUACCGGACCCUCCUUGUCACUCCACCAGGCUUGGGAAACUACAUCUCUGGUGCUAUCCUCUUUGAGGAGACCCUCUACCAGUCGACUGUUGAUGGCAAGAAGAUUGUUGACAUCCUUGUCGAGCAGGGGAUCGUUCCCGGUAUCAAGGUUGACAAGGUAGGUUGAUUUCACUCCAAACUAACACAUGGUUUUUGUUGUGCAUUCCGUUAUCAAAGUUGUUAUAUUAUAUCAAUUGUGAAACUAAGAUACAAACUGCUUCUACUAUUAAUGCAUCAGAAUAAUCAUAUGUUUUCUUGUUGAACUACAUGUACAUGGCAUGAUUCUCCAUGUCACUAGCUUUACAUUUCAAGCAAAACCAGAUGAUCCCAGGUUUAUUUGAAGCCCAGAAAUCAAACAUUCUUCUAAACUGGUGCUCAUUCUCAGGGUCUUGUGCCACUUGUUGGUUCCAACGAUGAGUCAUGGUGCCAAGGCCUCGAUGGCCUUGCCUCCCGUGAAGCAGCAUACUACCAGCAAGGCGCCCGCUUCGCCAAGUGGUUAGAAAUUUGCACCUAUGAGGAUUGAGGACAGUCUACCUUCUAUCAGCUCAUAGCUUCAUGCUCCUCUGGCUGACAUGAAGUUCACUUGCAGGCGCACUGUUGUCAGCAUUCCUAACGGACCAUCUGAGCUUGCUGUCAAGGAAGCUGCCUGGGGUCUUGCCCGUUACGCGGCCAUCUCACAGGUAUUGUUGCCAUUUCCUAACAGACCAAACUUCUAGAGCACAAUGGUGAGGCACAACAUUCUAGUGGAUAUGUAAACCUCUUGUUUGUCGAUGUUCUAGGACAAUGGGCUGGUGCCGAUUGUGGAGCCUGAGAUCAUGCUCGAUGGUGAGCACGGCAUCGAGAGGACCUUCGAGGUGGCGCAGAAGGUGUGGGCGGAGACCUUUUACUACAUGGCCCAGAACAACGUCAUGUUUGAGGGCAUCCUCCUGAAGCCAAGCAUGGUGACCCCUGGUGCCGAGUGCAAGGACAGGGCCACCCCUGAGGAAGUAGCCAGCUACACCCUCAAGCUCCUCCAGAGAAGGAUCCCCCCUUCCGUCCCCGGCAUCAUGGUGAGCAGAGCACCCUCCCAAACCUAAGUGCACAAUCAUGAAUACGUAUAAGAUUAUGUUGACACGACACUAUACUCAACAACCAAUUUGCAUCGUGACAUAGUAACUAGUAACUCAAAAGUGCAACAAUAGCAUGCCUUGAGAAAUCAACAAAUCAUUAGUUCUGCACAAGCUCACAUCCAAAUUUGUUGUCUCUUUUCUGUGGUGGUGCAGUUCUUGUCUGGUGGACAGUCGGAGGUGGAGGCGACGCUGAACCUGAACGCGAUGAACCAGGCGCCGAACCCGUGGCACGUGUCCUUCUCCUACGCGAGGGCGCUGCAGAACACCUGCCUCAAGACGUGGGGCGGGCGGCCGGAGAACGUCGCGGCAGCGCAGGAGGCGCUGCUGCUGCGCGCCAAGGCCAACUCCCUGGCGCAGCUCGGCAAGUACACCAGCGACGGCGAGGCCGCAGCUGCCAAAGAGAACAUGUUCGUCAAGAACUACAGCUACUGAUCCGUCGGCGAGCUGUCCUAUCUACAUAAUCUACCUACGGAGGGAGAGUGCUAGUAGCGCCUUGAGCAGCUUGAGGGCACCUUAGCCAGCCAGUGUGUCGUCGUUGUUACAGGUCGAGACCAGCUCUGAUGGAAGAGAUGGACGGAGAGCAUAUACUGUGUUUUACCACCCUAAGUAAAAAAA